rnacentral:rRNA from 1 species
CCUACGGGAGGCAGCAGUUAGGAAUAUUGGACAAUGGGGGAAACCCUGAUCCAGCCAUGCCGCGUGUGUGAAGAAGGCCUUAGGGUUGUAAAGCACUUUCAGCCGUGAAGCAGUAGCGGAAGAAGAAGCUCCGGCUAAAUUCGUGCCAGCAGCCGCGGUAAUACGAAUGGAGCGAGCGUUGUUCGGAAUCACUGGGCGUAAAGGGUGCGCAGGCGGUCAUGAAAGUUAGAAGUGAAAUCCCAGGGCUUAACCCUGGAAUGGCUUUUAAAACUCCAUGACUUGAGUAUUGGAGAGGUUGGCGGAAUUCCGAGUGUAGAGGUGAAAUUCGCAGAUAUUCGGAGGAACACCAAUGGCGUAGGCAGCCAACUGGCAUUACUGACGCUCAUGCACGAAAGCGUGGGGAUCAAACAGGAUUAGAUACCCUUGUAGUC